AAUCAACGCUGGCGGCGUGCCUCAGACAUGCAAGUCGAACGCGAAAGUUUCCUUCGGGAAACAAGUAGAGUGGCGCACGGGUGAGUAACACGUAGGUAAUCUACCUUCGGAUGGGGAAUAACAAUCGGAAACGGUUGCUAAUACCGCAUAAUGCAGCGGCACCUAAUGGUGACAGUUGUUAAAAGCGGGGGAGUCGAAAGACCUCGCGUCUGAAGAGGAGCCUGCGGCGGANAGUCUAGUUGGUAAGGUAAUGGCGUUACCAAGGCUACGAUCCGUAACCGGCCUGAGAGGGCGGUCGGUCACACUGACACUGACAUACGGGUC
rnacentral:rRNA from 1 species